UAGUCAUAUGCUUGUCACAAAGACUUAGCCAUGCAUGUCUCAGUAUAAGUUUUUACACGGUGAAUCUGAGAACGGCUCAUUAAAACCGUUAUCGUUUAUUUGGUGGUCAUUCAUUCCAUGGAUAACCGUGGUAAUUUUAGAGCUAAUACACGCUCCCAGACCGGAGUUGGUGGAAGGGUUGUGUCUUUUAGAUACAGAACCAUCCCAUGUUCCGCAUGGUUUGUGGUCACUCAUAAUACCUUGACUGAAUCGUAUGGAUUCGCUGAUGAUGCAUCAUUCAAGUUUCUGACUUAUCGGCUUCCGACGGUUGGGUAUUGUCCUACCGUGGCACUCACGCGUAACGGAGAAUUAGGGUUUUAUUCCUGAGAGGGAGCAUGACGAUUACGGCUACCACAUGUAAGGAAGGCAGCAGGCGCGCGAAUUUCCCAAUCUUGACACAGGGAGGUAGUGACAAGAAAUAACAAUACAGGGCAAUACUGUCUCGUAAUCGGAAUGAGUAGAAUUUAAAUCUCUUUAUGAGUACCAAGG
rnacentral:rRNA from 1 species